UACGUAGGGACCAAGCGUUGUUCGGAUUUACUGGGCGUAAAGGGCGCGUAGGCGGCAAUUCAAGUCAUCUGUGAAAUCUCCGGGCUUAACUCGGAACGGUCAGGUGAUACUGCUUUGCUAGAGUGCGGAAGGGGCAAUCGGAAUUCUCGGUGUAGCGGUGAAAUGCGUAGAUAUCGGGAGGAACAUCAGUGGCGAAGGCGGCUGCCUGGCCCAAUACUGACACUCAGGUGCGACAGCGUGGGGAGCAAACAGG
rnacentral:rRNA from 1 species